ensembl:lncRNA
CAGGGGCGAAGUUCAAAGUGCAGUUUCCAGUAAUUUGCUGGGACUUCUCCGUGGGUUUGAUAGGCCAGGACAGAAGCCUGCAAGCCGAAGUAAUAUUUCCUGAUUUCUGUCAUUUCUUAAGAAGAGAAGGAAGCUUUAUGCUCUGCUGGCCUAGAGUGCUUAGUUCCUGAGAGAGGAAUGAUUCUAGCAGAAGACAACAAUGAUUCCAUUGAGCUGUCCCACAUCCAGAUCAUUUGAAGCAAGGUCCAAGCACUCUAUCAUUUCAUCUGUAAGUGCUUUAGGAUGUACCUAACAGGUAGUUACAGAAAACUUGUUGUCCUAAUGCUGAGAAGCAAACACUUUAAGAGUCUCUUCCCUCAUCCACUUCAAAAAUGAUCCAAACCUUCCACUCACUGAGUGUGGGACAGCACAGAGCAGAAGCAAGGAAAGAAUGACAGAAACUCAGUGAAGGCCAUCAGAAAGUUCUGCCAAGAAACAUUUUGAAAAGUGCUGUGCUGUGCUAAGCUGCUUCAUUCGUGUCUGACUCCGUGUGACUCUAUGGACUGCAGCCCGUCAGGCUCUUCUGUCCAUGGGAUUCUCCAGAUGUAUUUCUCCAGGUUUGGCUACAAAAAAAAAGAUUUCUUACAGUGUUUAUACCUGCUAGGAAAUCAGGAUAUUCCAGAAAUCUCACAGUGUCCAGGCCAGUUUUCUUUUCAAAUCUGGGGUGAAGCACUCUCUUUUCAAAUUUAGAAAGGUCAGUUAUCAGAUGUGUGCAUUUAUACUGGUUUUCUGUCAGUAAUACCAGUGUGACUGGAAUGCUGGAAAAGAAUGCUCUUCCCUAGAAACUUCUGAAAGAAAAACACUUAAAAAUAUUUUGACCUCUGUAUGGUUGGGAUUUUUAGCCUCAGUGGCUCUGGUGUACUUAAUGGGCAUGGAAUUAUUUCAAUUGCAUCAUAAUCUUCCACUUCAAAUUAAGUUGAUUUUUGCUGUUUAGCAAAUUGUGAGAAGGAGAAUCUUGGGAGGGACAGUAGGGAAAUGACAGGUGCUGU